UUUCAAGACCUUUGAAGGUGGGUUUUGACUUCCAAUUUUCUUUGGUUUGAAGAGAUGAUCCAAUGCUGAAUGCCGAAGUGCGAUGCAAACAUGGUAUUUUGCUGCAAAUGCAAACUUAUUGGUCAGAUCGGAAUCCCGGAAGAUGAUUUUGGUCUUGUCCUCACUAUGAGGCCACAAAUUGCAAGUUUUUCAAAUGGAGAGACAAUGAAACAGUUGAUGAAAGAUCAAAGUUUAUUCUUCCAAUAUUGGUAAACAAAAUCAAAGAGUUAGAAGAAAAUUACGACCGUCUUAAGCUGUAUUUGGAUGAUCUUGAAGAUUCAAAACAGAAUGUUGAUUUAAAAGAGAAGAGUA